GACGAACGCUGGCGGCGUGCUUAACACAUGCAAGUCGAACGGAAAGGCCCUGCUUUUGUGGGGUGCUCGAGUGGCGAACGGGUGAGUAACACGUGAGUAACCUGCCCUUGACUUUGGGAUAACUUCAGGAAACUGGGGCUAAUACCGGAUAGGAGCUCCUGCUGCAUGGUGGGGGUUGGAAAGUUUCGGCGGUUGGGGAUGGACUCGCGGCUUAUCAGCUUGUUGGUGGGGUAGUGGCUUACCAAGGCUUUGACGGGUAGCCGGCCUGAGAGGGUGACCGGCCACAUUGGGACUGAGAUACGGGCCGGACUCCUACGGGAGGAAGCAGUGGGGAAUAGUGCACGAUGGGCGGAAGCCUGAAGCAGCAACGCCGCGUGCGGGAUGACGGCCUUCGGGUUGUAAACCGCUUGCGCCUGUGACGAAGCGUGAGUGACGGUAAUGGGUAAAGAAGCACCGGCUAACUACGUG
rnacentral:rRNA from 1 species